GACGAACGCUGGCGGCGUGCUUAACACAUGCAAGUCGAGCGGUAAGGCCCUUUCGGGGGUACACGAGCGGCGAACGGGUGAGUAACACGUGGGUGACCUGCCCUUAGCUCUGGGAUAAGCCUGGGAAACUGGGUCUAAUACCGGAUAUGACUCCAUGACGCAUGUUGUGGGGUGGAAAGCCUUGUGCGGCUAGGGAUGGGCCCGCGGCCUAUCAGCUUGUUGGUGGGGUGAUGGCCUACCAAGGCGACGACGGGUAGCCGGCCUGAGAGGGCGACCGGCCACACUGGGACUGAGACACGGCCCAGACUCCUACGGGAGGCAGCAGUGGGGAAUCUUGCGCAAUGGGCGAAAGCCUGACGCAGCGACGCCGCGUGAGGGAUGGCGGCCUC
rnacentral:rRNA from 1 species